AAUAAUAUAGCUUAUAAAUAAAGCAAUAACCUGUAAAGUUAUAUAUGAAAUAUAAUUUCUUUUAUUA
rnacentral:tRNA from 1 species